rnacentral:lncRNA from 1 species
ACUGAAGCGCCCGCAGGUGCCUGUGCCUGUGUAUCCCGACUAUAAACCAAAUCCUCUUGCUGAUUGCAUCCUGUGGUGUCUCGGUCUGGUCUUUAAAGUUGGAGGGUCUCCAUCCCGAGGGAAAGUUCUCCCUGAGAGCUUUUCAAUACAAUAUUAUGUCUGUUUCUAUAAUAGACCUGAGCAUCUACUUGAACUGGGUAUUAUGCGGCUUUGUAAGGGCAAUACACCAAAGACACUGAAAAAGAAUUGUAUUUUCAAAGGUUAUUUUAAGGGCAGCAUUUAAAUUUUUGUGUAAACCAGACAACUUAACCAAUGCCAUCGGAAAGAACUCGAUCAUAUUAAUAUUUAUAUCUUUUAUUUUAUAUUAUUAUUAUUUUAGGGUCUUUGAGACAGGAUUCCACAGCUUCUUAGAUAAAUCCCCCACUCCCUGCUCCUCACACACCACUUCCCUUUCAUCCCCACGCCCCUCUUAUUCUCCUUCCCCCCCUACCCCAACCCUCCCCACACACACCAUCUUCUCCGGCUCCCUACCUCCGCCGGGGUUUCUCUGUGUAACCCUGGCUGACCAGGAACUUGCUCUGUAGACCAGGCUGGCCUCAAAGUCACGAAUCCACAUGCCUCGGCUUCCCGAGUGCUGGGAUUAAAGGCGCGUGCCCCACCACCGCCCAAUUUAAAUACUUAACUUUUUUUAAUAACUA